UCUUGGAGUCUUUUCAGUGAGCCCAGAACAGGGGAUAGCAGUACCUACUCUAAAAAGCCAGUAAAUCUGAGAAGACAAAAACUUAGGAUUCUCUGCUGAG